ACGAAAACAUAACAGGCUGCUUAGACUACUGCAGGUACUUCUGGUGGAAGCUUUGACCUGGCCUUGGUUUGCUAAGUGAGGCUUCUUUCCCCAGGUGUGAAGCUAUACAUCCUGAAUAUACAGAGCAAACAGCCUAGCUUCUUAUCCUGUGACCUCAUCAGCAUCAGAAUAUAGGGGUUGUUCAUUAAGGGGCUGCCUCACGGUAGAACAUGAGCAGGUAAUGCACAAGGAGCACCACUGGGAAUCAUGUCAGACGAGUCAAUCUCAGGGAGUGAUCCGGACCUGGACCCGGACUUGGAGCAGGAGGAUAUGGAAGAGGAGGAGGAGGAAGAUGAGGAGGAGGCGAUGGAGGAGGACAAUGAUGGGGAUGACGAGGAGGACUUACUUGAUGAGAGUGACAUUUAAACAACCUCUGCAAGCCUGGGAUGGAAGUCUGAAGCAGUAUGUGUUUGCCACAGUGAUCGUCUGAAAAGCAUUUGCAGAAGGCAGCGUGUUUCAUCACUACCUGUAUUUUGUGUGAUUAGAUUUUUGUUACAUCGCGUACAGCCUCCCACCCAGUCAUGAUUUAGAUGAGCGUGGGAAAGAAAAUAAACCAAGAUUUAUAUGAACA
rnacentral:lncRNA from 1 species